GACGAACCUUGCUAACGUUAUUCGGAAUUACUGGGCGUAAAGGGCGCGUAGGUGGCCUUCCUAGUCAGACGUGAAAUCCCCAGGCUUAACCUGGGAACUGCGUCUGAUACUGGAAGGCUCGAGUUCGGGAGAGGAAUGUGGAAUUCCAGGUGUAGCGGUGAAAUGCGUAGAUAUCGGGAGGAACAUCAGUGGCGAAGGCGGCCUUCUGGUCCAGUACUGACACUCAAGUGCGAAAGCGUGGGGAGCAAACAGG
rnacentral:rRNA from 1 species